AACGAACGCUGGCGGCAGGCCUAACACAUGCAAGUCGAGCGGCAGCGGGAAAGUAGCUUGCUACUUUUGCCGGCGAGCGGCGGACGGGUGAGUAAUGCCUGGGGAUCUGCCCAGUCGAGGGGGAUAACUACUGGAAACGGUAGCUAAUACCGCAUACGCCCUACGGGGGAAAGCAGGGGACCUUCGGGCCUUGCGCGAUUGGAUGAACCCAGGUGGGAUUAGCUAGUUGGUGAGGUAAUGGCUCACCAAGGCGACGAUCCCUAGCUGAUCUGAGGGGAGGACCGGCCACACUGGAAAUGGGAGAGGGGCCAGGCUCCUAGGGGAGGCGGAAGUGGGGAAUAUUGCACAAUGGGGGAACCCCUGAUGCAGCCAUGCCGCGUGUGUGAAGAAGGCCUUCGGGUUGUAAAGCACUUUCAGCGAGGAGGAAAGGUUGGUAGCUAAUAACUGCCAGCUGUGACGUUACUCGCAGAAGAAGCACCGGCUAACUCCGUGCCAGCAGCCGCCGUAACAC
rnacentral:rRNA from 1 species